UACGUAGGGUGCGAGCGUUAAUCGGAAUUACUGGGCGUAAAGCGUGCGCAGGCUGUUCUGUAAGUCAGAUGUGAAAUCCCCGAGCUCAACUUGGGAACUGCGUUUGAAACUACAGGACUAGAAUAUGUCAGAGGGGGGUAGAAUUCCACGUGUAGCAGUGAAAUGCGUAGAGAUGUGGGAGAUACCAAUGGCGAAGGCAGCCCCCUGGGAUAAUAUUGACGCUCAUGCACGAAAGCGUGGGGAGCAACAAGGAUUAGAGUACCGUGAUAG
rnacentral:rRNA from 1 species